AAAGAUGGUCAUGCAUAGCUCAUAUUAUACACCUGCACAAUAGAAUGAAUUCUUGGCAAGCAAGCUCUUAUUAAUAUCCUAGGACACAUAGUUAACCAUCAGAAGCCUGAUAUGUACUGGCACUACUUAAGAAUACACCAGAGUUUAAAUUGAUGAUUUCACAUAAAUCAGUAGAAUGAUUUGCCUUGGGACUUUGUGGGAGGCCAUACUCUCUAUGCUGCAUGCCACUCUGAGUGGAAUACAGCCAUAAGACACCUGAGAAAUAAAUUACUCUGAA
rnacentral:misc_RNA from 1 species